GAAAGUUUCUUUUAAUAUUACUAGAAUAUUGAAAUAUUUUAAAGAAAUUUUCAAUAUGCAAGGUUUUUAUUUAUUUUUCAAGCAAAUGACCUAAAAAUAAAAGAUGUUCUUUUAUUACAAUAAGAGAAAUUGUGAAAAUUAUUUUUAAAUAUCAAAAUUAAAACUUUUUGGUCAAAAUUAAUGGAUACCACAUGGUUAAUUGGUAUAGUUUUUAAAAUAGUUGUUGUGAGUAUGUUAAUC
rnacentral:lncRNA from 1 species